rnacentral:sRNA from 1 species
AUGUAAUUUCAGCGAUCGGGAGAGGGGGAUGCUUGGUAAAGUUAAUCAUGUGUAAUGGAAAUGGUAAUACAACUGUUCGGAUAAAAAUUAUGCAACUUAAUAAAAGGAACGGAGAUUGUGGCCUGCAGGAAAUGGCAGUUUAAGAAGAAUUAAGUGAUAUGUUUGGCAUCAUUAGCGUCUGACAGCAACUGGCAGAAAAAGAUGUAAUGAUAAUGGGAGAAGUCGAUAAUGAGAAUGGAAAGUGUGAAUCCGUGAAGUAGCAAGCUCGGGUUUAGAACUAGCGAAAUCCUUUCAGGAAAGCACACCUGGGCAGUGGUAUUUCCUGAUUUGUUGAUUUCUGAAAAACAUGUACUUUAAUUUUAGAAUCAUAAGGAGAUACCUAAAAAAUUCAGAGAGUUAUGCAAUUUGUGUAGGUUAUGUCUCUUAUAUAGUCAAAUUCCGUACGUUCAUUUUUAAAUUCUUUGACUUACUACGUAAAUUAAGAUUAAACAUUGUAAUAUAACCACACGAUUCUACGCGUACUUUGUGAGAGUAAUGUUCUGGACGAACUUUGCAAAAUACUAUAUGAAGUGUAUUUUCCUUAAAUAUUUAUUGCAAUAACAAAAACAUAUUUGUAGCUUCCUUAAAGCUCCCUUGACGAAAAUUGUUAAAAUUGAUAUCUAAAAAUUUGCCAAAAUGAUAUAAUACUCUAUUAAUGGUCUCUGAAAGUCAAUAACAGUAUUUAUUUUGCUGGAUGGGUGUACUGCCCUCUAUUUUAUAAAGUGAAAGUGUAAACCACGCAAAUCCAUUAAAAAAAAACCUGGAUAGAUUAUCCCAAAAAAUAAAUGCAAGCCAGUUGAUAUCGAUUUUAUCUUCAAGACAAAAUUAAUGUAUCAACUAAUACUUUUUCUUGUGUUGUUUUUCGUCUAUGAUAGCGGAAAUUGUUCAAAGAGUGAAAACCGAGUCAGCAGUUACAUGAAACUAAUCCGGCUUUAUAAGCAGAAAGAUGAUAAAUCAACAGAAGAGAUAUGCGUCUAUUUCAAGUUUUAUAAUAACAUCUAUAAACUACAAAAAAAGAAGUCAAUGCAAAGAUUGAAAUGUCGAAAGCCUAGAAAUAUUGCUUCUUGCUGCAAUGUCUCCGUCUAGAUAUAAUAUUUCCAUAUUUAUAUGAUUAAUGCGUAAUUCGGUUGAUAAAAUUUGCCCCUAGAAAAAUCACAAAUCCCCACAUCAUUGCACCCACGAUAGUUUAUUUCCUAUUGGUAUUUUGAACUUAGCUCUCGACGUUACAAAUACUCUUGUCAGUUAGCUUUUGACAAGUAAAGGCGGAAAUAUUAAGUUUGUUGACAACAUUAUCCACAGAUAUAUCAGAAUGUAGCCUUAUGAUCCCCUAGACCUAUAUACUUCAUCCUAGAUCUAAAUGGGCAACCUCUAUAACUGUGGAAUAUUCUGAGUAUUCUGUACCAUAGUAAAACUCGUCUAGCACACAUACACAGAUAUUGUAAAAUCUCGGAUAUUCGUAGUUUAACAAAUCUUUGUCACAUGUCACGGUUACAACGUAAUGGUCUAAAGGAAUUCGCCAUAACCGAGUUUUACUGUUACAACAUUUAGGAGGUAUAUUACCAAAUUUACGGCUAAUUGACACAAUGCAGUAGUGAAAUUAACAUGCCUUAAUGUUGAUAUUCUACACGCAAUGAAAAAUGUUUUCGAUUAGGGUUUCUUUGGACUUCUAUACUAUAAUGAUGAUCAUCAAGUCCAUAUAGAAAUUGACUUUCAGAUCAAGGCAGAACUCAGAGAUGUAUAAGUGACAUUUAUCAGUCUGAAUUAUCUGUUGACUAUAUAGCGGAAUCGAUCUUUCAAUCUGAGCAUGAACAAUACAGCUCUAGGAUUUUCCGACCGGGACAUUUAUCCGCUGUGUUCCGACCUCAAUUUCAGCAGUCGUCUGUCCACUAUAUAAAUCAUGACUUAAAUAUGGUUGGUAGAGCCCAGUCCAUCAAUGUUUUUAACAGUUUUAUUAACUGAAAAUUAUUUAUGAUGCGCAAACAUUGGUAAUGGGGAAAGUCGAUUGUCUAAUCCAUUAUUCACGAACGAUAAAUAUAGCUUGUCUGGUAAUGGAGAAGAAAAAAAAAACCCCGGAAAAAAUCCCCGAACAAUACAAUUAAUGAUAUGGAUUACAUUAAUGGUUUGUUUAGAUGUGUAUUAGCAACACGAAGAAGGAUGUUUUCUUAUCAAUGUUGUAUAACAUUGUCAUUUAUUCAUCGAAAUAAAAUGUGCUUACGUGU